AUUAUCCAAGAACUAGUUAAUUAUGGUCUGAGUCGAGGCAGGGUGUGCUGGAAUGGAGAAAAGGCAGUGAUUUUAAACAGGAUCUGAUGUCACCAAAUUUACAUUUUAGAAGAAUGACUUUCAAGCAUUGUGAAUGACUGGGCCUGUAUUUUCUCCCCUUGAAUUAUUUAAUUGUUUUACUUGAAUUGUUGUAUUGUCCAGUCCGUUUGCCUGAUUUUUGCCUUCACCUGGUAACGAAGGCCACUUUCUCCCCUGCAGUUGCCAGAGGGCAUCACCCAGCCACAGAUCUGUCUGCUCCUGCCUUGUGUUCAGCCCCGUCUUGCGGGGUGGCAAGACAGACAGUCUUCUUCCAUGCUCAUCAUGGGGACUCGUUGUCACGGAACCCUGCCAUAAAUGCCAGCUAGAGUGAAUUGUUCGAAUUGUUCGUGCGCUGUCUUCCCAGUUCCUCAGAGGAGGUAACAUAUGGGAAAUCCCCAGGAAGAAAGAUGCCACUCGUCUAUAGCUAUAACAGGUGUGGUCACAGGGACUUGGAUGUGUUUGUCCAGUAGGACCUGAAAUAGUACUGGCAACCCCUCUCCAGUCCAACCUAGCCCAAUCCAAACAGCAUAGCACACUGUCAUGAGAUAAGGACCCCACCACGAUGCUGAGGAGGCUGCGGGGCAGAUGCAGAGAUUCCAAAGGUAGAGCUGGGGGCAGGAAAGACUCAUGAAACAGAGGGAGUCCUCGGCCAAGACACGGAAACAAGAAAAUGUCGGAUGUAUUUGGACCAUGGUGGAGUCACCUCACUUGGCUGGAGCCUGAAAGAAUGUUGGCUUUGGAGUGGGGAAAACUGAGGCCAAAAUGGGGAGACCUAAAAUGUCUUCAAGAGGAGUCUGGUCUGAAUUUCUGAGCUGGUCACAAGCCUCUGAAGCUUCUGAGUCUUUUCACAGUGUGAGCAUUUGCUCACUGGAGUGAACAAACUGUUAUCAGGAAUAAUAGGAAUAAGGGGCUCUUUUAUGGGCAAUAAACUGAAAUGCUAAUUAUAAUUGAUUUUUUUAUUUCUUAAUGUAUACCUCGCAAGGCCACUCUCAGGUACUAUUAUGGCUUCCAAUUAUUCUGUGCUUUUCACAGAACCACAAGGCUUCAGUGGU